GCGAAAGUGGCGGAAUUGGUAGACGCACUGGAUUUAGGUUCCAGCGCCGCAAGGUGUGCGAGUUCGAGUCUCGCCUUUCGCACCA
rnacentral:tRNA from 1 species